UGUGUUAUGUGUGCAUAUAUGGUGUGUAUGUGUGUAUGCAUGUGUGAAUAUAUAUACAUACAUAUAUGUGUGUGUGUGUGUGUGUGUGUGUGUGUGUGCGUGAUGUUUGUGUAAAAUUUUUAGGAAAGUGACUGAUAAUGAGUUUCUAUUUGGAAUGAUGAGGAUAUCCUAAACCUAGCUCAUGGCAAUGCUGGUAACUUGUGUGAAGAAUACUAAAUUAAGUUGUGCCCUUCAAGUGUGUGAAUAACUGACACAUGGGUGGGUAGUGGCAGGGUACUAAUGAUGAGCUUUCUAGACUCAGCUAAGCAUGCUGUUCUUUCCCCCCUUUACUGAUGUGAGCCCUGGGCAAUCUGUCGGAGGUUUUAUUCAGCUAUGAGAAGAAGGGAGCUGCUUCUCCUCCCUUUUUCUUCUUUGUCUGUGUCUCAUAGACAAAAGGAUCCCAAAUGACAUCCUCAGGCUGGAGUUUUGGUCAGGGAGAAAAACAAAGAUGAUCUAAUACAUUGAAGAACCUUACAAGUGUUGCUUUGGCUGAGGUCAACUGAAAGACCAUAUGUACGUAUGAUUGGACUUUGAGAGUUUUUAAGAAGGGGUUCAAUUGCUCAAAGUGUCCUUUCUGUUUGUUUUUGAGAUAGGACCUUGCCAUGGAGUCCAAGCUGACCUGGAGCCCUCUAAAUGCUGGAGUUAGAGGCCUUCCCUACCAUGCCCAGGCUGUGUAAGCUCAGAGACCGCCUUGUUCACAGCCACAAUUCUCUGGAGAUCCAUCCAUGUCACCGCCCUAUGUCUCAGGAGUUUGUUCCUUCUGAGUGGUGUUGCACAGUGUGGCCAAACCAGAGACACCCAACCAUUUAUAUCUAAAGUCCACAAUUGGAUGUGUCUCUUGCUGGUGGACCCUGAGCUGAGAUCUGCUGCUUCCUUCAUGCCAAGGACAUACUCUCCUGGUGUGCCCCAGAAGUGUCUGUGAUCUCCUGUUAUGCUACAGGAAGUGGCUGUGCUCUCCUGGUGUGCCCAGGAAGUGGUUGUGCUCUCCUGCUAUGUUCCGGGAAGUGGCUGUGCACAGCAGAUUCGCAUCUUGUUUCAGGGAUGCCUCUGGGGUGGGUUGCUUUUGUCCUGGAAAUCCCUGUAAUGUUGAUGAAACUGUGCAGAGCUACACUUUGGUCAUGUCUUCCAACUGUCUGCCCUUCCUGUCCUCUCAAGGCUGACUAAGUUUCAGAGAACAGUACCCUCAACUGAUUCCAGCACCCAUGGUGUUGCACCCUUGACCUUCCUGGAGCUGGUGCCUCACCCUGUUGACAUUUUUCAGGUUCUAUUCUGAUCCAUCAACUCAUGCCAGAUGCUGUGGUCUAUGAAGCCACAGAUGCAGGUUCUGUUGGCUUUUGUAUAUUCACAUUGGGACGAUGGGAGCCCAUUUUUCCUGACAGUUAGUGGUAACCUGAUAGUCAAGCCUCCGAUGGAACUUUAUCUCUCCUCACAAUUAAAGGCUCUCAAAAUUCAA